GGAGGGAGCUAGCGUUGUUCGGAAUUACUGGGCGUAAAGGGCGCGUAGGCGGUCGGGUAAGUCGGGUGUGAAAUUCCGGGGCUCAACCCCGCGAACUGCAUCCGAUACUGCUCGACUUGAGAGAGGUAGGGGCGAGUGGAAUUCCCGGUGUAGCGGUGGAAUGCGUAGAUAUCGGGAAGAACACCGGUGGCGAAGGCGGCUCGCUGGACCUUUUUCUGACGCUGAAGCGCGAAAGCGUGGGGAGCAAACAGGAUUAGGUACCCUGGGUAGUCCACGCCGUAAACGAUGGGUACUAGGUGUUGGGAGGAUUGGCCCCUUUUCAGUGCCCGACGCUAACGCAUUAAGUACCCCGCCUGGGGAGUACGGCCGCAGGCUG
rnacentral:rRNA from 1 species